rnacentral:rRNA from 1 species
GACGAACGCUGGCGGCGUGCUUAACACAUGCAAGUCGAACGGAAAGGCCCCUUCGGGGGUACUCGAGUGGCGAACGGGUGAGUAACACGUGAGUAACCUGCCCUUGACUUCGGGAUAACUUCAGGAAACUGGGGCUAAUACCGGAUAGGAAUCCUUGCUGCAUGGUGGGGGUUGGAAAGCUUCGGCGGUUUUGGAUGGACUCGCGGCUUAUCAGCUUGUUGGUGGGGUAGUGGCUUACCAAGGCUUUGACGGGUAGCCGGCCUGAGAGGGCGACCGGCCACAUUGGGACUGAGAUACGGCCCAGACUCCUACGGGAGGCAGCAGUGGGGAAUAUUGCACAAUGGGCGGAGGCCUGAUGCAGCAACGCCGCGUGCGGGAUGACGGCCUUCGGGUUGUAAACCGCUUUCAGCAGGGGCGAAGCUUGUGGUGACGGUACCUGCAGAAGAAGCACCGGCUAACUACGUG